rnacentral:tRNA from 3 species
GGGGCUGUGGCGCAGCGGUAGCGCGUCUCGAUGGCAUCGAGAAGGCCGGGGGUUCAAUCCCCCCCAGCUCCA